UUCUUGUUUCACUAAUUUGUUUUUUUCAAUGCAAUCGAUUUUGUGUUGUUUAAUGUUUUUAGGUAUAUGAUCGUGAGAGUGAUUGCCAUGAAAUCUUGAAUAUAGUCUUGGUUUAUAUGGUUUUCUUAUGAAUUGAAUUGGAUUAGGAUAUUGAUAAAUAUUCGGUCACGUAAUCGGACAGAGUAUUUUGGAAGUGAAUCCCACUAACAAAUCUUUGAAAAUCUUGUCCAUUUAUCUGUAUUUUGUGCUGAGUCUGGGAUUCGGAUUUGGAUUUUUGUGGAUAAUAGUUCAUGAAAUCUAAUUUCAUGUGAGUCUUGUACAAUCUUGUUAUAGGUUAAGGUUAGUUGAUUGAAUUUGAGGUUUGGGCUAAAAUUAGUGCUCAUCUAUUUUUGCCUAGACAUAUAUCAGUGAAUCUGGAAUGUGUUAAUGAUGUUUAAUAGUUGUAGGCACAACAGAUAGUGAGGUUAAUUUGGAUAAUGUUGGCUUAUGUCAAUAUGAUGAAUUUGGUGGCAUUUGGUUUAUUGAAUUUGAUCUAGGUCCCAAUGGGUCAAGCAAACGACUCAAUGAUGAACAUCUGCUGUGCAAUGAGAUGUUUAUCCAAGGAGGCAUUUUUCAUUUUUAUUUUUAUAAAUCUUUCUAAAUUUUUUUAUUGAAUUUUUGUAAGAGGUAAUUAUUUGAGAAUUGUAUUACUCCAUUCUUCUUAGUUUCUGCGUAUAUCACAUUCUUUCUAUCCAAGUGUCUAAUGCGAAUGAAUCUUUGGAUGGGGAAGGUAGGAACUGCUAGAUUUGAAUUAGUGGAUCACUGUGUGGUUUUUUUUCAGAUAGUGUUGUUGGUGGUGAAAGGAAAAAGUUCACUAAUUUUUGUGGGGCGAGGACUUGGGUUCUUCGAAGUUGGGAAUGUUUGUUCCUAAUGUGGGAUAAUUGUUUCUAAUGCAAGCUGUGAUUUUAUUACUUGACCUUUAUGGAAGAAACGAGGUAGGAUAAACACUUAGUUGUGGUUUCGGAUUAUUUCAAAGGUAGGUAAGGUGGAAAAGAGUAAUAUUCAAAUGCAAGGGGUGAGAUUUUUCUUAAGGGUGGUGAUGGAAAAAUGGAAAUUUUAUAGAAAAAUAUAAAGGAUAUGGUGUUAAGAUGUUACGUUUUAGCAGUUUGCACAAAUAAUCAAACAUGUUGCCGUUGUUUCUUUUUAUUGGUUUCUUUUUUUGCAAGCCUUUUUUUAUUAAAUUAUUAGGGGUUGUUAUUUUAGUGUUUUCUAUUAAAUUCUUUUUUUUAUUUGGAGAUCACUAAAUUCCUGUUUGGUUGCACAAAUUGAAUUGACUGAUUUUAAAUAUGUAGAUUUUUAAAAAGUGUUAAUUCAAAAUUUGUGAAGGCAUUGAAUAAAAUUAAUUUUGAAUCUACUAAAGUUGGAUUAGGUAAUUUUGUGGUAACAAAAUAAACUUUUUUAAAAUUUUAACAAUCAUAAUUACACUCAUUAAGUAAUUCUAUGCGAGAGGCUAAAAGUGGAGUGUGAAUAUUGUUGCUCUUUUUAAUUAGUUAAGUAAAUUUACAUAAAUUUCAGGUGUUGCUCUUUAUACCCAAACAAAUUAUUCACGGAUGAGCCAAUUCUAAACUGGUUCAAUUCACAUUAUAGGCACAA